rnacentral:rRNA from 1 species
GACGAACGCUGGCGGCGUGCUUAACACAUGCAAGUCGAACGGAAAGGCCCUGCUUUUGUGGGGUGCUCGAGUGGCGCACGGGUGAGUAACACGUGAGUAACCUGCCCUUGACUUUGGGAUAACUUCAGGAAACUGGGGCUAAUACCGGAUAGGAGCUCCUGCUGCAUGGUGGGGGUUGGAAAGUUUCGGCGGUUGGGGAUGGACUCGCGGCUUAUCAGCUUGUUGGUGGGGUAGUGGCUUACCAAGGCUUUGACGGGUAGCCGGCCUGAGAGGGUGACCGGCCACAUUGGGACUGAGAUACGGCCCAGACUCCUACGGGAGGCAGUAGUGGGGAAUAUUGCACAAUGGGCGGAAGCCUGAUGCAGCAACGCCGCGUGCGGGAUGACGGCCUUCGGGUUGUAAACCGCUUUCGCCUGUGACGAAGCGUGAGUGACGGUAAUGGGUAAAGAAGCACCGGCUAACUACGUG